GACGAACCGUGCGAACGUUGUUCGGAAUCACUGGGCUUAAAGGGCGCGUAGGCGGGCGGCCAAGUCAGGGGUGAAAGCCCCCAGCUCAACUGGGGAAGUGCCUUUGAUACUGGUCGUCUCGAGGGAGGUAGGGGCGUGCGGAACUUCCGGUGGAGCGGUGAAAUGCGUAGAUAUCAGGAGGAACACCAAUAGCGAAGGCAGCUCGCUGGGACGUUACUGACACUGAGGCGCGAAAGCGUGGGGAGCGAACAGG
rnacentral:rRNA from 1 species